rnacentral:rRNA from 1 species
UGCCGGGCGUCGACCGGCGAAUGGGUGAGUAACGCGUAUCCAACCUGCCCCUGUCCCGGGAAUAGCCCUUGGAAACGAGGAUUAACGCCCGAUUUGCGGAUUUGCCGCAUGGCAGUUCCGUGAAAUGCCUAAGGACGGGGAUGGGGAUGCGUCUGAUUAGCCAGCUGGCGGGGUAACGGCCCACCAGGGCUUCGAUCAGUAGGGGUUCUGAGAGGAAGGUCCCCCACACUGGAACUGAGACACGGUCCAGACUCCUACGGGAGGCAGCAGUGAGGAAUAUUGGUCAAUGGCCGAGAGGCUGAACCAGCCAAGUAGCGUGAGGGAACGAAGGCCCUAUGGGUUGUAAACCUCUUUUAUGCGGGGAGUAAAGAGCGCCACGCGUGGCGUGUUGCAGAGUACCGCAUGAAUAAGGACCGGCUAAUUCCGUGCCAGCAGCCGCGGUAAUACGGAGGAUGCGAGCGUUAUCCGGAUUUAUUGGGUUUAAAGGGAGCGCAGGCGGAGCGCCAAGUCAGCCGUCAAAUGGCUCAGCUCAACUGAGUCCUGCGGUUGAAACUGGCGCCCUUGGGUGCACAAGAGGCAGGCGGAACUCGUGGUGUAGCGGUGAAAUGCAUAGAUAUCACGAAGAACUCCGAUUGCGAAGGCAGCUUGCUGGGGUGUUACCGACGCUCAUGCUCGAAGGCGCGGGUAUCAAACAGGAUUAGAUACCCUGGUAGUCCGCGCAGUAAACGAUGGAUGCCCGUCGGUCGCGGCCUUUUAGUGGCUACGCCGCCGAGCGAAAGCGUUAAGCAUCCCACCUGGGGAGUACGCCGGCAACGGUGAAACUCAAAGGAAUUGACGGGGGCCCGCACAAGCGGAGGAACAUGUGGUUUAAUUCGAUGAUACGCGAGGAACCUUACCCAGGCUCGAACGGUCGGUGCGGAUGCUGGGCAGAGUAUCGCCCUGCUUUCUUCGGACCGCUUCCUAGGUGCUGCAUGGUUGUCGUCAGCUCGUGCCGUGAGGUGUCGGCUUAAGUGCCAUAACGAGCGCAACCCUUUCCGCCGGUUGCCAUCGGGUAAUGCCGGGCACUCCGUCGGUACUGCCGCCGCAAGGCGUGAGGAAGGUGGGGAUGACGUCAAAUCAGCACGGCCCUUACGUCCGGGGCCACACACGUGUUACAAUGGGGGGCACAGCGAGCUGGAUGCAGGCGACUGCAUUCGAAUCAAUAAAUCCCCUCCCAGUUCGGACUGGAGUCUGCAACCCGACUCCACGAAGCUGGAUUCGCUAGUAAUCGCGCAUCAGCCAUGGCGCGGUGAAUACGUUCCCGGGCCUUGUACACACCGCCCGUCAAGCCAUGAAAGCCGGGGG